AGUGAACGCUGGCGGUAGGCCUAACACAUGCAAGUCGAACGGCAGCACAGUAAGAGCUUGCUCUUACGGGUGGCGAGUGGCGGACGGGUGAGGAAUACAUCGGAAUCUACUUUUUCGUGGGGGAUAACGUAGGGAAACUUACGCUAAUACCGCAUACGACCUACGGGCGAAAGCAGGGGAUCUUCGGACCUUGCGCGAUUGAAUGAGCCGAUGUCGGAUUAGCUAGUUGGCGGGGUAAAGGCCCACCAAGGCGACGAUGCGUAGCUGGUCUGAGAGGAUGAUCAGCCACACUGGAACUGAGACACGGUCCAGACUCCUACGGGAGGCAGCAGUGGGGAAUAUUGGACAAUGGGCGCAAGCCUGAUCCAGCCAUACCGCGUGGGUGAAGAAGGCCUUCGGGUUGUAAAGCCCUUUUGUUGGGAAAGAAAAGCAGCAGGUUAAUACCCCGCUGUUCUGACGGUACCCAAAGAAUAAGCACCGGCUAACUUCGUG
rnacentral:rRNA from 1 species